rnacentral:rRNA from 1 species
AUUCCGGUUGAUCCUGCCGGAGGACAUUGCUAUUGGGAUUCGAUUUAGCCAUGCUAGUCGAGCGAGUUCAGACUCGCGGCGCAUAGCUCAGUAACACGUGGCCAAGCUACCCUUCAGUCAGCGAUACCCUCGGGAAACUGAGGCUAAUAGCUGAUACGAAACACCAGCUGGAAUGCGGUGUUUACGAAAGACAUCGCUGAAGGAUGCGGCUGCGGCCGAUUAGGUAGACGGUGGGGUAACGGCCCACCGUGCCAGUAAUCGGUACGGGUGAUGAGAGUCAGAGCCCGGAGACGGAAUCUGAGACAAGAUUCCGGGCCCUAC